ACUAACGCUGGCGGCGUGCUUAACCCAUGCAAGUCGAACGGAAAGGCCCUGCUUUUGUGGGGUGCUCAAGUGGCGAACGGGUGAGUAACACGUGAGUAACCUGCCCUUGACUUUGGGAUAACUUCAGGAAACUGGGGCUAAUACCGGAUAGGAGCUCCUGCUGCAUGGUGGGGGUUGGAAAGUUUCGGCGGUUGGGGAUGGACUCGCGGCUUAUCAGCUUGUUGGUGGGGUAGUGGCUUACCAAGGCUUUGACGGGUAGCCGGCCUGAGAGGGUGACCGGCCACAUUGGGACUGAGAUACGGCCCAGACUCCUACGGGAGGCAGCAGUGGGGAAUAUUGCACAAUGGGCGGAAGCCUGAUGCAGCAACGCCGCGUGCGGGAUGACGGCCUUCGGGUUGUAAACCGCUUUCGCCUGUGACGAAGCGUGAGUGACGGUAAUGGGUAAAGAAGCACCGGCUAACUACGUG
rnacentral:rRNA from 1 species